AUUAACGCUAGCGGCAGGCAUAAUACAUGCAAGUUGAACGGCAGCACAGGUAGCAAUACUGGGUGGCGAGUGGCGCACGGGUGCGUAACACGUAUGCAACCUACCCUAUACAGGCGAAUAACCUUUAGAAAUGAGGGCUAAUACGCCGUAGUAUUACAGAUGGGCAUCUAUUUGUAAUUAAAGAUUUAUCGGUAUAGGAUGGGCAUGCGUCCCAUUAGUUAGUUGGUAAGGUAACGGCUUACCAAGACGAUGAUGGGU
rnacentral:rRNA from 1 species